CUCUUGACAUCCUGGGAACUUGUGAGAGAUCACUUGGUGCCUUCGGGAGCGCAGAGACAGGUGCUGCAUGGCUGUCGUCAGCUCGUGUUGUGAAAUGUUGGGUUAAGUCCCGUAACGAGCGCAACCCUUGUCCUUAUUUGCCAGCGGGUAAUGCCGGGAACUCUAAGGAGACUGCCGGUGACAAACCGGAGGAAGGUGGGGACGACGUCAAGUCAUCAUGGCCCUUACGAGUAGGGCUACACACGUGCUACAAUGGCCGGUACAAAGGGUUGCGAGCUCGCGAGAGUCAGCUAAUCCCGAAAAGCCGGUCUCAGUCCGGAUCGGAGUCUGCAACUCGACUCCGUGAAGUCGGAAUCGCUAGUAAUCGUGAAUCAGAAUGUCACGGUGAAUACGUUCCCGGGCCUUGUACACACCGCCCGU
rnacentral:rRNA from 1 species